CCAAAUCAUUCAUAUUGUGUGGCCCUAAAUAGAUUAAUUCUCAAAAUUCAAGUUUAGCUAUAUAUGCAGGUGCAAGUGUGUGCUGAAACAUCAGUAUGGGAUUGUAUAUUUUUUUGUCGAUCGCAACCCUAAUGCCGGCUGUUCGGAACCGUUACAGUUCAUAGUGUUCACAAUAUAUCUAUGGUUCGAAGAAAAAAAGCGUGUUACAUGCUUACAGUAACGCGCAAUGUUGUGGCGAUGCUCACCUGCGCGCGCACGUGCACAUCUGUGUAGACGGACUAUGACGUCACUCUUACUGUAGACUCCAUAUUGUAUCAUUGGGUCCUUUGAGAUGGAAAGGUGUCUAUUUAAACUAAUUUCUGAAGUUGCCAUUUGUGACGGAAAGUAACAAUGGUUAUAUAAUGUAAAAGAUUUAGAAAGGAAAUUUGCCAAACUAUAGAUACAUUUUGGUAGUUGUGACAUGUAGAGAUUUAAGAUACAUACUAUUUUAUGGAAAAUUCAAUUAACCAUGGUUAGUAAUAUUAUUUCGCUACAUGUAUGUUAAAAUGGGUACAGAAAGAACAAUUAAAGUGUUGUUUGUGGGAGAUAACAUUGUAGAUUAGUGUUCGGUGUUGUAUUACCGGUGAUUGGUAGCGCGGGCGGCGCCGGCGGUGUACAGCAUUAGUAACGCUCAUCACAUCACUGUU